AGUGAACGCUGGCGGUAGGCCUAACACAUGCAAGUUGAACGGCAGCACAGUAAGAGCUUGCUCUUACGGGUGGCGAGUGGCGGACGGGUGAGGAAUACAUCGGAAUCUACUUUUUCGUGGGGGAUAACGUAGGGAAACUUACGCUAAUACCGCAUACGACCUACGGGUGAAAGCAGGGGAUCUUCGGACCUUGCGCGAUUGAAUGAGCCGAUGUCGGAUUAGCUAGUUGGCGGGGUAAAGGCCCACCAAGGCGACGAUCCGUAGCUGGUCUGAGAGGAUGAUCAGCCACACUGGAACUGAGACACGGUCCAGACUCCUACGGGAGGCAGCAGUGGGGAAUAUUGGACAAUGGGCGCAAGCCUGAUCCAGCCAUACCGCGUGGGUGAAGAAGGCCUUCGGGUUGUAAGGCCCUUUUGUUGGGAAAGAAAAGCAGCAGGUUAAUACCCCGCUGUUCUGACGGUACCCAAAGAAUAAGCACCGGCUAACUUCGUG
rnacentral:rRNA from 1 species